AUGAAGCUUUCCGUGGCAACCGUCGCUUCCCUAGUCUUAGCCUUCGUCGCUGGCACGGCCGGCGCCGUCACGUUCGAGGUGACGAACAACGCGUCGACGACCCCCGGCGGCCAGCGCUUCGACGUGGAGUACGGCGCGGACUACGCGAGGCAGGUCCUUUCGGAAGCCGCCUCCUUCAUCUGGAACGUCUUCAACCAGACGGGCGCCCGCGAGGCCGACCGCAGGCCAGUCGACGGCGGCGGCGCCGUCACCCUCGUCGUCGUGGACGACACGGACGGCGGCAUCGCCUCCACCAGCGGCAGCGCCAUCGAGCUAAGCGAGGGCUACGUCGCCCGCUUCACCGGCGACCUGAAGGCCGAGCUGACGGGGGUGCUGUACCACGAGGCGACCCACGUCUGGCAGUGGGGUCUCCAGGACUACGCGGCGCACUGGUGGGUCUUCGAGGGGGUCGCCGACUUUGUCAGGCUCAAGGCCGGGUACGCGCCGGCGCACUGGGUGGCGCCGGGGCAGGGGCGCAGCUGGGACGGAGGUUACGACGUGACGGCAAGGUUCCUGGACUACUGCGACUCGGUGAUCAAGCCCGGGUUCGUCGGGGAGCUCAACGGCAAGAUGAAGGACAGCGGGUACAGCGACGGCUACUUCGUGGAGAUCCUGGGUAAGAGCGUGCAGGACCUGUGGAACGACUACAAAGCCAAGUACGGGGGCUGA
rnacentral:rRNA from 1 species